AUUGAACGCUGGCGGAAUGCUUUACACAUGCAAGUCGAACGGUGGAGGGGGCAACCCCUCGAGAGUGGCGAACGGGUGAGUAAUAUAUCGGAACGUGCCCAGUCGUGGGGGAUAACGUAGCGAAAGUUACGCUAAUACCGCAUACGAUCUAAGGAUGAAAGCGGGGGAUCGCAAGACCUCGCGCGAUUGGAGCGGCCGAUAUCAGAUUAGGUAGUUGGUGGGGUAAAGGCUCACCAAGCCAACGAUCUGUAGCUGGUCUGAGAGGACGACCAGCCACACUGGAACUGAGACACGGUCCAGACUCCUACGGGAGGCAGCAGUGGGGAAUUUUGGACAAUGGACGCAAGUCUGAUCCAGCCAUUCCGCGUGCAGGAUGAAGGCCCUCGGGUUGUAAACUGCUUUUGUACGGAACGAAAAGGUCUCUCUUAAUACAGGGGACUCAUGACGGUACCGUAGGAAUAAGCACCGGCUAACUACGUGCCAGCCGCCGCGGUAAGAC
rnacentral:rRNA from 1 species